UCUUAUGGAUGAUCAAAGAAAGUGAUUUCUUGGGAUGGAACUUACUCCUGGCAAACAUGCUGUGAA
rnacentral:pre_miRNA from 2 species